CCAUCUCUACGGAAUAACUCAGGGAAACUUGAGCUAAUACCGUAUACGUCCUUUUGGAGAAAGAUUUAUCGGAGAUGGAUGAGCCCGCGUCGGAUUAGCUAGUUGGUGGGGUAAAGGCCUACCAAGGCGACGAUCCGUAGCUGGUCUGAGAGGAUGAUCAGCCACACUGGGACUGAGACACGGCCCAGACUCCUACGGGAGGCAGCAGUGGGGAAUAUUGGACAAUGGGCGCAAGCCUGAUCCAGCCAUGCCGCGUGAGUGAUGAAGGCCCUAGGGUUGUAAAGCUCUUUCACCGGUGAAGAUAAUGACGGUAACCGGAGAAGAAGCCCCGGCUAACUUCGUGCCAGCAGCCGCGGUAAUACGAAGGGGGCUAGCGUUGUUCGGAUUUACUGGGCGUAAAGCGCACGUAGGCGGACUUUUAAGUCAGGGGUGAAAUCCCGG
rnacentral:rRNA from 1 species